AUAUUAAUAUGGUCCCUUUUGUAACCCUGGAUGAGGCGACUCAUCGAAUACUUAAGUGUUUAUUUCAGCGCUCGAUAGGUUAUGCCUUAAACUGAUGAGUAAGGAAAAUAACGACGCGGGGUGACGCCCGUGUCCUCGCCAACACAUGCGAGAAGAAUUUUUGAGAGGGUAUAGGUCUGAUUGCUAAGGUGACUCGCUUACUUCGUGAGAUGCCUUGCAGUCUAGGAUCUACCCUACCCCUAAACUUGUUAAAAGAAUACGAGAAGUAAGACAUACCACUCUCAAGGACUAUGAGAAAUGCUACGUAAUAGCGAUGUCGUUCAUUGAACAUACUUUGGUGAUUAAGCCUUCUGCCACAGCACAAGGAGCCGGGGUAUCCACAUAGCCCAUCACCUUAAAAGCUGCAUGCCAAUGCACUCUCAUUCCUCGGUAUGCUUCAGGCAGAAAAGUUUUAUUCAAAAGAAAGGUAAGAACCAAACAGUCUCCUCAAGGGGUUCGUAUACUUUUCAAUGAAACAUGUACAACUGAUCAUGUCCAUUUAACACCAAAUUACAUUUAAACAAUUUAUGA